UACGGGGGGAGCAAGCGUUGUUCGGAUUUACUGGGCGUAAAGGGCGCGUAGGCGGCGUGACAAGUCACUUGUGAAAUCUCCGGGCUUAACCCGGAGCGGCCAAGUGAUACUGUCGUGCUAGAGUGCGGAAGGGGCUACUGGAAUUCUCGGUGUAGCGGUGAAAUGCGUAGAUAUCGAGAGGAACACCUGCGGCGAAGGCGGGUAGCUGGGCCGACACUGACGCUGAGGUGCGAAAGCGUGGGGAGCAAACAGG
rnacentral:rRNA from 1 species